UGGGGAAUUUUGGACAAUGGGGGAAACCCUGAUCCAGCCAUCCCGCGUGUGCGAUGAAGGCCUUCGGGUUGUAAAGCACUUUUGGCAGGAAAGAAACGUCGCGGGUUAAUACCCCGCGAAACUGACGGUACCUGCAGAAUAAGCACCGGCUAACUACGUGCCAGCAGCCGCGGUAAUACGUAGGGUGCAAGCGUUAAUCGGAAUUACUGGGCGUAAAGCGUGCGCAGGCGGUUCGGAAAGAAAGAUGUGAAUCCCAGAGCUUAACUUUGGAACUGCAUUUUUAACUACCGGGCUAGGGUGUGUCAGAGGGAGGUGGAAUUCCGCGUGUAGCAGUGAAAUGCGUAGAUAUGCGGAGGAACACCGAUGGCGAAGGCAGCCUCCUGGGAUAACACUGACGCUCAUGCACGAAAGCGUGGGGAGCAAACAGGAUUAGAUACCCUGGUAGUCCACGCCCUAAGCGAUGUCAACUAGCUGUUGGGGCCUUCGGGCCUUGGUAGCGCAGCUAACGCGUGAAGUUGACCGCCUGGGGAGCACGGUCGCAAGAUUAAAAACUAC
rnacentral:rRNA from 1 species